UACGUAGGGUGCGAGCGUUAAUCGGAAUUAUUGGGCGUAAAGAGCUCGUAGGCGGUCUGUCGCGUCGGUCGUGAAAACUUGGGGCUUAACCCUGAGCUUGCGGUCGAUACGGGCAUGACUGGAGUUCGGCAGGGGAGACUGGAAUUCCUGGUGUAGCGGUGAAAUGCGCAGAUAUCAGGAGGAACACCGGUGGCGAAGGCGGGUCUCUGGGCCGAUACUGACGCUGAGGAGCGAAAGCGUGGGGAGCGAACAGG
rnacentral:rRNA from 1 species